AAACUCUUAUUCUGCCUUCAAAUUUCCAGCUAAUUACGAUGCAGAGAAGGCAUGGAAUGAUCAUUUGAAGCGCAUGCAAGAAAUCGAGCGCAGAUACCCAUCUCGCUAUGGUCUCUAUUUGAGAGACAAGCCACUCACACCAAACUCUUUGGUGCCUUUGGAAUACGAGCCAGAGGAUAAGCUGUUGGCUGAACUCAACAAGGCACGCCGCUCGGCCUCGCCGUUCCGUCCCAGCCGCACGAGCCGGGCUGGCAGCGAGCCCUACGUGCCUCCGCCAGUCUACUGGAACCGUGAGAGCAGCGUGCCACGUGGUGGACCAUCGGUGUUCGAUCGGGCCACCAGCUUGGCUCCGUUCACGCGGCCAAGCUUCCGUGCCAGCUCGCUGGAGCCGUUGGAUGAACUCUUUGAAAGACUUCCAAUCUUCCAUCCACGCAACCGCUUCAGGGAUAUGCUGAGCCCCAGCCCCAAGCUGCCGAUCUCGUCGAUUGUGCGCGAUCCCUUCUGGUGGGAUGUGGAUGAUCUGGUGCCCUUCCGUGCCACCUCGGUGCCCCGCGCGUCGAGCCCCGUGGCCCGUGAUUCGUAUUUGUCGCCGGUGAAGAAUCGCUAUCUAUGGUCGAGACACCCAGCUAGACCCCUGACACCUGAGGCAGAGGAUAUUUUCUAAAACAUAAAAAUGAAACAUAAACAUCAAAAUAAAGCCAAAUCACAACUCAAAAUCGUUAGCUCUAAUAACAACCGAUGCUAUAUCACAUAGCACUUCUGUAAUUUUUUUGUACUUUAAUUUACAUAAAUUACAUGUAACGAAAUGCAAUACAAACAAAUUGCUCACCGCUCAAUUUUGUAAACGAACGAAAACGAACUAUGAAACAACAACAACAACUACACUUACAACAACAACAACAACAACGAAUGCAUCAAUGGGGUCCCCAAUAACCAACAACGACUAGCUUUUUGGUUUCCAAGUCAAGAACCGGAAAUCAGUGAAAGUAGCAAAAUAUAUCUAUAUAAAGACUAUAUAUAUAGCCUUUGAGUCCUCAACAACGAUUGAAUUUUUUCAAAACUGCCAGCCCCAGAAGAUCCGGGUGCUGCCUCCACUUUAAUAAUUGCCAUCAAGUGCUUACUUCCCGUAGUAAAUAUAAUAGCAAACAUAAUAUUUAUAUAAUAAAAGAAGGAGAAGAAUCCAAAGGGAAACCUUUUUAACAACAA
rnacentral:misc_RNA from 1 species